GCGCUCGUAGCUCAGCUGGAUAGAGCUGGUGGUAUGGUAGCCCCGAGGUCGCAGGUUCGAAUCCUGUCGAGCGCUCCA
rnacentral:tRNA from 1 species